rnacentral:rRNA from 1 species
AUUGAACGCUGGCGGCAGGCCUAACACAUGCAAGUCGAGCGGAUGAAGGGAGCUUGCUCCUGGAUUCAGCGGCGGACGGGUGAGUAAUGCCUAGGAAUCUGCCUGGUAGUGGGGGAUAACGUCCGGAAACGGGCGCUAAUACCGCAUACGUCCUGAGGGAGAAAGUGGGGGAUCUUCGGACCUCACGCUAUCAGAUGAGCCUAGGUCGGAUUAGCUAGUUGGUGGGGUAAAGGCCUACCAAGGCGACGAUCCGUAACUGGUCUGAGAGGAUGAUCAGUCACACUGUAACUGAGACACGGUCCAGACUCCUACGGGAGGCAGCAGUGGGGAAUAUUGGACAAUGGGGGAGAGCCUGAUCCAGCCAUGCCGCGUAUGUGAAGAAGGUCUUCGGAUGGUAAAGCGCUUUAAGUUGGGAGGAAGGGCAGUAAGUUAAUACCUUGCUGUUUUGACGUUACCAACAGAAUAAGCACCGGCUAACUUCGUG